AAAUUAAUAGUAAAUUAAGUCCAAAUAUAACUAACUAAAAUCAAUUUUAAUUCCUCACAAGAUUCCAACAAUAUUCAAAAGAUCUUACAUUAAUUAAAUUUCAAAUAAUAAUCCUGUAAAAUAUAAUAAUAAAUUAUAUCUAAAUUCGGUUGAUACCGUUGACUCUCGUCUCUAAACUCACUAUCAAAGUAGUACACAUAUCUGCAAUUAAGAAUAUAAAUCUGAAAAGAGAGGAGAGUUAAUGAGCUCAAUAAUUCAGUAAGUAAUUGAUAUCUCAACUAAAUGUUUCAGAUAUUAUUAUAACAUAUGAUAUUCAAAAUAAAAUAUUAUGAAUAAAUAUUAGAAUAUAUUCCAUGCUAAUUAAUGCAAAUCAAAUCCUUUCAAAUAUUCAUAUACAUAAUCAUAAAUUCGAUUCGAAACAAAUCAUAUAUAACUCAACAGUCUUUGACUAUGACCAUAUUUAUAUCUUGUGGUGGGAUCAGAGCUCAAUAAUAAUCAAAAUGCCAACAUAUAACUUCCAUUGACAGAGCCCACUGAAUACCAAAAUAUAACCCCCAUUAGCAAGGUCUACUGAUUAUCAAUGCAUAACCCCCAUUGGUAGGGCUACUGAACACCAAAAGGCUUGGCUUUUCAAGAUGAAAUCUGGCAAUAGAUCAAUUGGAAUCAAGCUUCGAUGGCUGAGGGAGGGAAAGAAAAGGGUAAAUCAACAUAUUUUUAAGCCUCUUACCUGACUUGCUAGUGAUGCUAUGGCUGUGCUUCUGAUGGGCACAGUGAUGGGUUUCCACAAAGAAGAAAGAGGAUGGCUCACCAGCGAUGGUUCAAUAGCUGACGAAGGUGGUGUUCAAAGGAGUCGAGGGGCUCUUUAAGUAGAGUAGAAAGAGGAGCCAAGUCCUUGACAUCGACUUUCUCUAGUGGAAAUGGGAUGGGAGUCUUCUUCUCCCAUUCCUUUUCUAUUGGGCCAGCUUUACAAAUCAUGCAGCAUCCAUUUGUGCCUUCUUUUGGGCUGGGGUAUCACAAUAAUGACUUUACGGCACCAACCAUAAGCAUCAAGAGGGCGUGGGGGGAGGGGGGCUAUAGGCUCAAGUGUGGUGCUCCCAAUCCUCUGAUUGCCAAGAAAAAGGCCAAGGUUUAAAAUCCAUGAAGCAUUCAUGAAGGUUUUAGGGCCGGUUUGGGUUCUAGGAUAGAGGCAUUCAGCCCUCUACGGUCUUGAGGCCCAGAAGACUUGGGCCUUGAGGGGCUAAUCCACUUUUGGGCUAGGUUUGGGUUCAAAGAGGAUGAGAGCAUGCAAGUCAUGGGUGUACUUGAGGUUGGGUGAGUGCAAUCAUAUGUGGGUUAGCAUUGGGAGUUGUUUGGGUUGAGUCAAAUUUCAGGGGGGCUGAAAUUUGAGAGCUAAUUUGUACACAUAUAUGUGGAUGUAAUCAUUUUUGAUUAGGUGAAUGAGACCAUUUUUCUUCCAACUCUCUCUCUCCUCUCUCUCUCUCUGUCUUGUGGCCGCCUCCUCUUUUGGAGAAACCCUAGCUGCCCCCCCUUGCUCCACUUGCCUUAUUUGGAAGCAAGAAACCCUAGCACCUAGGGUUUCUUGGCUGCCCCAAGCUUCCUAACAUCCAAGCCUUACCGCCCCUUCUUGGUGAUUUGCUGCUGGUUCUAGAUCUCCAUGCCUCCUAGGAAGUGCUUCAACAAUUGGUAUCAGAGCUGGUCUCGUGUGGAAAGGAGGAAGAAGCCAGAAGCAAGGAAGAUCUUCAAAUUGAAAUUCUGCAGCACACCUCUUCCAAGAUAUUUUCUCAGAUCCAUCUUGUGGAUUGCUGCAUUUUUGGUAGGAUCCAACCAUCGGAAGUAGCAUCAAGGUUGAUUUCGAAAAGUUUGAUGGGAAGUGAAGCGUCUCUAUGUAGAAGGUUAGGGUGAAAGAUUUGUUGGUCCAACACAAGUUGGAUUUGGUGUUGGAAGAGAGGCCAGAUGAAAUGAUGGAUAGGCAAUGGAUGUCCUUGGAGAAGAGGACAUGUUCAACCAUUAGAGGGUGUUUGGCAGACUAAGUGUUGUAUUCGGUGCUAGAAGAUAAGGAUCGGAACAGUUCACUCUGACUCGAUAAAGAUCAUUGAUCUAGAACGAUCCUAUUGAGCUCUCACAAUCCAUCAGUGACAUCUAGCAAUAUAGUAGCAACCCAACAGAAUCGAAAAAUAUCUAAGUGUAGUUAAUGUGUAAUAUAGUCCCUCUAUCGUGAGUUCCGACUAGAUGGCAGCUCAUGGAUAAAUCGUCAAACCUCAUCAUUAAUCAUAUGAUAGAUUCAAUCAGCUCGAGUCCAAUAGUGAUUCCAAAUAAAAAUUCUUUUUCCAUUAAUCAUAUUGCUAUGGCCAUAGACUUAUGGAUUCAGCUUUUCAAAUCUUAUAGGACUAUUCUUCUCUAUCAAAAUCGAUAGAUCCCAUCUAGAUGCACAUCUUGCUCCUAUAGCUCAACCAACUGAAGUCAAUAUCCACUGCAAAAACUCAUAAUUGAGUUAAUGCUUAUGUGUAGUCAAACUAUAGCAGUCUUACUGUGAGUAACUGUGAUACCGUAGGUCAAAGGAUCAGUUACACAACUAUAGUAUCGAGAUGAUCACUGACGAUUGGAUAGAAAUUCAUGUGAUCUCUCAUAUGGUCACACUCAGUACUAGUUCUCUAACAACUACUCAUGCUUGCCACUCAGUAUCUCUAUACUGUAGAUUAGAGACUCAUCUAUCUUGAAAGAAGUGAACCGUGUGCCAGUCUAUCUGGAUGGAUACCGUCUCAUGACUAUCCUAUGAUCAGGAGCAAUUUAGGAAUCGAUCAUACAUGUCUCUAAUUCUCAAUAGUUGAGAAUAUGUAUCGUAACGUCAAUUUCAAGAACAAUUCAAGGACACAUAACACUUGAAUGAAAAAAGAAAAUUUGCCCUUUAUUGAUUAAGUCAAUAGUUUAAGUAUAAAUUUAUGUCAUAGAAUGAACAAUGUGUCAGCCAACAAUUGAUUUCUAGGACAUACAUCUAACAAAUGCAAGGGUUGAUUUGGCCGGAUACCUGAUGGUACGAAUAAUUUCAAACCCUAAUUUGAACUAUAGAUAGUUUGGAUCUUAGUGCUACAUAAAAAGCUACUAGAAGAUUGGAUAAGUGAUAAAUUCAGUUUGAAAGUGGAACAAAUAAGUAGUAUUAUGUAUCAUAUACAACAAGGAAUUCCACGAAAGUUGACCAAGAGGCCAAUACAGACGUCAAUGCCCUACUAUAAUGGAUUCUACUCUACAGGCCUUUCAUAACUCUCUUUAGUCUUUCCAACUUCUGCUAGAGAGGUUUAGAUGCUAGCUUGCAAGCUACUCUUGUUCUUUCUCUAGAAGUUGCUCUUCUUAGUGGAUAUUAGUCAGUUCUACUUCAAGAGUCUCAAUUCGGUUCUUUUAUGUUAGCUAGUGGAUGGUGAAUAUCAAAAAUUUUUGGCUAGCCAGCAUUGAAGAUCAUCGGCCUAUGUUGCCUAGAGGUAGUUCGAAUGCUGAAGGCAAGGAUCGCCGAACCGAUAUCGGGAUCUAUAUCGAUUCUGUAUGGUAUUGUACCAACAUAGUAUAGCUUUGCAUGCCAGUUUAAAUUGGCAUGCCAAUUUUUUGUUUUUCUUUUUUUUUUGUUUUUAAGGUCUUUAGUAAAGUUUUUUGGUUUUAUGAAUGAUCUUAAGCCUGAAUUAAUGUUUUUUUGAUGCUAUUUGAUAUUUCUAUCACUCCAGUACCCCCUUAAUCAUCCGUGAUACUGAUCUUUAGGGACAACCUUCCAAGGAUAUGGUAUUAUUGAACUUUAAUAUGCUUAAAUCAAUUAAUAAUAUAUAAUUCUAAAAUGAUACAAUCGAUUGUGUAUAUUUAAAAUAUGUAUAUCAAGAUCUAGAAUCUUGUUGAGUGCCAACAUUUAUACUUAGGAGAAACAUUAAUCCAUCCCUCUAUCCAAGUGGCAUUAUAGUUUUAUAUGCUCAUCCCAUAAGGUAUGCACGUUAGAUUGUAAUCGGCUUUAGAUCUCUCGUUGAAGUUCUAGCUUUGAUUGCAUAGGAUGGUAGCCCUUCGAAGAUGUCUCGAAUGCACCAUACCCUUAUCCAUAUGGAUCAUAAGUUGUUUGUGGCUAUGGACAAAAGAAUCCAGAAUACGAUGAUGAACUUAACACAUCCAUGGAUCUUAAUCUACGUACAAGGUCAUCUGCAGCUACAUCGUAUUUUGAAUGAUCUUGAGGGGCCUGUUGCAAAUAUGCAAUCAUAUCCUUGCGAGCUUUACUAACUCGUGCACCGUGAUCCUUAUCUUGUAUGACAUGCAUAAACUGUGACUCACUAGUGAAUCGAAGACCACUCUAUAGCUGCAUCUCAUAUACGGUGGUCUCCCAUACUCCACUCCUUUUUUGACCACCAGAUCCAAUACUAUCAGAACUAUCAUCCUUGCUCUCCCUAGUGUCUGAUUCUAAGUGAACUAUCUCCACUCUCUCCAUUGGGCCUGCAAUUGUUUUUUUCUUUUCUUUUGUCUCUGUGUUGAACAACUACCUACCCUCCUUUCCUAUCUUGCUUUGAUCGGCUAUGCUACGCGGAUGGAUGUCCUACUCUCUGAGAUGAUCGUCUAGCGUGCCAACCUCGUCUAAGCAUCUUUCGGUCAAAUCUCUAUGAGAAUGUCUUGGACAUGGAGUCAUGUGAUGAAUGACUCCUUAGUGCCCCUCUGGCUGUGGCUGAUCAACUGAAAAUCUACAUGGAAUGUUGCUGAUAGCCCAUUGCUUAGCAUCCAGUCGAACCUCACUAGCUAUAAAAUUGGCUGGUUGUGGAGGCGAUCUUGGCUCAUCAAGCUCCAGCUUCUACUAUUGGCCCAUAAUCCAUCCAAUCAUCAAAUCUUUCUCAUCAUGAACAAAUGCAUCCGCAGUCAGAUCCAAGUACUUGAACUCAACUCUUUUUGAAUGCAUUUCAACCUCAACCUUAGAUUGUAGUGAACAUAUACAAGGUCGUUGACGCAUCUCUAUGUCAGACUGUUCCUCUGCUAGUUGUAGAUAAGGGCGAAGAUUAACGAAUUGCGCUCAUAGCCACUCAUGGAGUGUUUGAGAAAGGAUCUAAUGGCAAGUUGCUUCAUAUUUCUUGCCGAUAAACCAAAUGAAUCUUCCAUUCAGCUGCAAAAGUAUUGAGCAAAAUUACGUAUAAGACUAUCAUAAUGUAUCAUAUCGAUAGCAUACGAUGUCAAAUAAGAGUUGUCGUCGUUGAUAUUUAAUCUAGUUGGAUUCAUCUUGUGUUUGAUUGGGACAGCUGAUGUCUCUGAAACUUUCAAUGCCCUCCCUAAAUAUUUUCGUUUGUGAAAAAUAUACUUGUUAUAAUAUGUUAUUAGUUGAAGAUAGGGUUAACAAAAAUGUACCACCUAACCUACCUCUUCCAAACAUGGAUGCGGUUUUUGGACCAAGUUUCAUCUUAUAUAUCACAUUAUGUUUGAAGCACUCACAGAACCGGAAGCGCCUGUAGUUUCAAAGGGAGGACGGGUUAUUCACAUUUAAUUUGAUGGUCAGAGGUGAAUUGAAAGCUAAGUAGUGGUACUUAAGAUCCCCCGAGGGAAAAAGAGAGAUGUCUCCUACAUUAUCCAUAAUAUGUGGAAGUAUGGACGUAAUUUUAUAGAGUCAUUCGAUUUGAAUGUUACAUGAAGAACAUAAGCUAGAUGACAGAAUGGGGAGACCUAGGAUGUAGAAGAUCAUAAAAUGAAUGAUUCGACAGAUUUUGAUUCCUAUAUAUCCACUUAUAUGGUACUUCAUUAUAUGAUUCAUAUAAGAUCCAUUUGUCUAGAUAUCAUCAUAUACGUAUAGAAAGCUGUAUACUUUGAAAGAAGCUUGUACAAUUUGGAAAGGACUUUUUAUUGAUAAAAAAGAAGAAUCUAUUUCAAUCGAUAUGUCCUUAGGUACGACCAUACAUAACAUAGAAAUCACGCUUGGAAAGGAUGGAGGGUGGUCAAAACUUCCUCAUCCAUGUCUAUUCUAGGUACGAUACACUGGAACCUCAAGUUCAAGUGGUAAGCUACAGAUUGAUUUUGUAAUUAUUUAGUUAAAGUUGUACAAGUACAAAAGCAAUAAUUUUUAGAGCAUUGAUUUCUUUUUUGCUUGAUGCAAGUUCCUAUCUUUUUGGUAGUCCCAUUAUCGCUUAAUAAUGCUAAUGUACUUCUGGUUAUAUUUUGGAUCUGCCAUCCUGAUUUGAUUCUUUGCACUCUUCAUUAUAUGAUAUAAGAAGUCCAUCUGGGGAUAUCUGUCACUACCAAAGAAUCUCAUAUAAAAGCUUGAUAGUCUUCACUAUCUUCUCGAUCCUCAUUUAGAAUGUCUGCCUCAUCACUAAAUCCUUGACAUGACUCUAUUGUCGGUGCUUACAUACCUACUCUCCUGCCACUUGCAAUGGCAAAUAUUUGAUGCAAGCAUUUUUUUCUUAUCAAGAAAUCUAUCAAGUGUUAUGUAGUUUAUAGCAAACCGUGUCAAAUUCAGUCUCAGGACUCUCCCUCUGUGUAUCUCUGCAUCAAUGACAGGAUUCAUAUAUAGUUGUAGAUGAAUUUGGUGAUACUCUAUGCUGAUUUCAUUGUUUGUUGCACUCUAUGAAGCUUCCGGAUAUCCAUCAACAUGAGGUCGAUACAAUAUGCAGUAUAUAGGGUCCAAUAAAUUUAUGGUCGCCACUCCAUCAGGAUCUCCUCUAUGGUUCUGUAUUGUGGUCUAUUAUCGGUGACAGCCUGCACAACAUUUUGCUCUCCUAUCUGUUUAAUCACCUCAUACAUCAAUCUCAUGUACUCGUACACCUGAUUAGAAGCAUCAAUUGACUUAUGAAAAAAUACUUUUCCAUUACAAUAUGUCAAAAAUGUUGAUGUUCCAUUUAGUAGAAUCGAUUCAACCAUCACACAUCACCGUCACUCCAUAUAUGCGCCAGUUGUUCUAAUAGGAUGCAAUCCAUUUUUUUAACUCUUUGUCGUCAAGAAGCUCACGGUAGAUGUCCUUCGAUCUUAGAGGAUCUAUAUCCAGUCUGACAGCCUGUAUGAUGCAAUGACAGAGCGAUAAUGUGCCGCCUACUAUAUUCGCUAGUAUGUGGCUGAAGUAAAAUUAAGAUCCAAUAUUUUUUUGUCUUUCAACAUACUGUUAAUUCUCCGUUGUUUUGAAUUUUUGCUAGGGAAGGCAUGUGGAUCCAAGUCGUGGAUAGUAGCACUUGGUGGAAUAUCUCUAAAGGACUUCUUUCUAUUGCGAAAAGCUUCCAGCAUAGAUGCAAUACGGACACCAGCUCUACUGAUGCUUUCCCUAACUGAAGUCUUGAACUCUGACUCUCACCUAGCGAUCGCAUAGUCCAAUCCAAACUCAUAGCAUGAUGGUCCAAAUAAAGUCCCAUACCAAGCUAACUCCUCAAGCUGCUACUAAUAUUUUAAGCUCGCAUCAAUGGCAGUCUGGAUUAGUGCCUUGUCAUCUGGAGCAGACCUUCGACUCCUUGGAGUGAGAGGAAGGUGGCUCUGCAGCUCAAUAGGCCACCUCCACCUUCGAAGCCCUCCUUCACUGCUUUGAAAUCAAUGAAGUACUUCAUUAGAUGUCGGAUCUCAAUAUUUCGAUACAUAGCUACAUCGGGGUAACCACUAGUCAAGUACUGCUUCAACCUAAUUAUCUCUCGAAUUUUGUGUUGCACUAGUUACAUUUUCAGUGGUGUUGAUCCAAUAGUAUUUGCCCAUGGUCUUAACCAAUAUCAUGCUUUGGGUUUUUUCUCGAUGGAUCCAAUCCUGCAAGAUUAAGCAUGCAAGUUUAAUAAUUUUGUAAAUAUAAUAAAAUUUUGUUGUCUUAAGAAAAAUAUAUUUUCUACUUCAAAAAAUUUGUAAUUAUAAUUUUUCAUAAUUAUUUCUAUUUUUAAUUAAUUUGUAAUUAAAAAAUAAUUUUAGAUAUCAUAAAUUUUGAAAAUAUGUUUUGCAUCUCAUAAAUACUUCUAAAUUAUCUAGUACGUAGUGUUAAUUUUACAUAAUCUUUUGAAUUAAUUUCAUAUUUUUUUAUUAAUUAUUUAAAUUAAAAAUAUUUUAAAUUCAAAAAGUUUGGAAAAUUAAUAGCAUAGAUCCAUGUAGGACCCUACAACAGUUUCUACAGUUAGUUUUCUAAGCCUCUGGGCAUGCAUGAAAAGCUACUUAUUUAUUAUUUUUAUUAAAAUUUAAGCUUAAGCUAUUAAUGCAUAUGAUGCAUGAAAAUUUUCAUAAACGGACACCAAAUUUAUGUUAAGAGUACCUUGCAUGCUUUUAAACAAUAUUCUGAUUUUAUAGUU
rnacentral:lncRNA from 1 species